UGCAGGAUCAGUCUACCAAAGAGGCAGUGAAGGUGAAGACAGAGAUGGGAACAUCAGAGACAGAGAUAUUCAACUCUCUGAUGGAGAGAGGAGAUCUGGACUUCAUAGAACAGCUCUGGGUUCGCAUGAGGAACAGUGUGACUUCCUAUCAAGAUGUCGGAGACUGUCUGAAAAUGGUCAUCAAAGCUUUGCAGUAUGGUGACAUUAAACCAUGG